AGCUGGGGACACGGGACAGUAGGAAGGCAGGGGCUCAGGGACGGCCACAGCUCCACCACACAGCUCAGAGGCACAAGGUGCAGAGUAGGCCGGCUGACAGCAAGUGGGGACAAGCUGUCACAGGACCUCUCUUGCAGGGCUGUGCUGGGGACCUUGGGACGAGGCACAGGCACAGGCAGGGACCCUCCCCAAACCCUCCAUCUGGGCCGAGCCAGGCCCUGUGGUCGCCAAGGGAAGCUCUGUGACCAU